GCCCCUGUAGCAGAACUGGCAUAUGCACAUGGUUAAGGCCCAUGGUUUUCUGAGGGUUCGAAUCCCUCCAGGGGUA
rnacentral:tRNA from 1 species